UACGAAGGGGGCUAGCGUUGCUCGGAAUCACUGGGCGUAAAGCGCACGUAGGCGGACUCUUAAGUCGGUGGUGAAAUCCUGGAGCUCAACUCCAGAACUGCCUUCGAUACUGGGAGUCUCGAGUCCGGGAGAGGUGAGUGGAACUGCGAGUGUAGAGGUGAAAUUCGUAGAUAUUCGCAAGAACACCAGUGGCGAAGGCGGCUACCUGGACAGAGUCUGACGCUGAGGCACGAAAGCAUGGGGAGCAAACAGG
rnacentral:rRNA from 1 species